rnacentral:rRNA from 1 species
GCGCACCAGUCGCGAAACCUUCGCAAUGCGGGAAACCGCGACGAGGGGACUCCCAGUGCCUACGCUCAGCGUAGGCUGUUCCCGAGCCUAGAAAGCUCGGGGAGUAAGGGCUGGGUAAGACGGGUGCCAGCCGCCGCGGUAAUACCCGCAGCCCGAGUGGUGGCCACUAUUAUUGGGCCUAAAGCGUCCGUAGCCGGCCCGGUAAAUGCCUGGGUAAAUCGUGAGGCCUAACCUCACGAAUUCCGGGUAGACUGCCGGGCUAGGGGACCGGAGGAGGGAGAGGGGUACUCCAGGGGUAGGGGUGAAAUCCUGUAAUCCCUGGAGGACCACCGGUGGCGAAGGCGCUCUCCUAGGACGGGUCCGACGGUGAGGGACGAAAGCCAGGGGAGCGAACCGGAUUAGAUACCCCUGUAGU